rnacentral:RNase_P_RNA from 1 species
CAAGGUGGCCGGACGGCCGCUGCCUCAGCAUUUGCUGAGAGAGAGGAAAGUCCGAGCUCCACCGGGCAGGAUGCCCGCUAACAGCGGGGCGGGGUGACCCGACGGAAAGCGCCACAGAAAAAUACCGCCUGCUUAGGCAGGUAAGGGUGAAAAGGCGAGGUAAGAGCUCACCGCCCCGGUAGCGAUAUCGGGGGCCAGGCAAACCCCAUCCGGAGCAAGGCCAAAUAGGGGGACAAGGCGCCCGGCCCGUCCCCGGGUUGGCCGCUCGACCCCGAUGGCAACAUCG